UUAAGCGACUAAGCGUACACGGUGGAUGCCCUGGCAGUCAGAGGCGAUGAAGGACGUGCUAAUCUGCGAUAAGCGUCGGUAAGGUGAUAUGAACCGUUAUAACCGGCGAUUUCCGAAUGGGGAAACCCAGUGUGUUUCGACACACUAUCAUUAACUGAAUCCAUAGGUUAAUGAGGCGAACCGGGGGAACUGAAACAUCUAAGUACCCCGAGGAAAAGAAAUCAACCGAGAUUCCCCCAGUAGCGGCGAGCGAACGGG
rnacentral:rRNA from 1 species